UGAACACCACAAACACUAUAAACUUUUUAUUAUUUCUAACAAAUCUAACAUGAUCGUGUUCAUAUUUAAUAACGGUAAUAAGCUAGUGUAAAUUAAUAUGUUUUUGAAUUUAUAUUACCUUAUUUAUUGUAGGUAGUAAGUAGUGAAAUCGUUUUGUUUAAAUAAAAAAAAUUGAAACGAGAGAGAUCCAAACAACUGUUAACUAUGAUAUUAAUUAUGCCAAAGAGUCAAAGCAGUCAACAUCAACUAAUAUAACAUUACCAUUAUGGCACAAUUUGAUGUAUUCUUUUAAUGUUAUUUAGAAUUCUGAUUUUAAUGACCAAAAUUAAUCAAUGUAACAAUUCAAACAUAGAAGUUGAAAAUUAAGCUGAUGUCAAUGAUAUUAGUCAUGUAUCUUCAAAAAUGAAUGUUCAAGCGGAUAAAAUGAUUGCAUUACUAGAAGGAAAUAAAGAUGUUGGUGAUAAUAAUAGAAGAACUAUGGUGUACAUGCUUGAUUAUCGAGUUUAUCAAGUUAUCGUUUGAUUAUAAAUUCUUUGGCUUAAGCUAUAGAUUCAAGCUACCCAAAGCAAUACAAAAGUCAGAUAUAUCUAAUCUAGUACUGAAGAUGAAUAUUAUAGUAGAUUAACAAAAAAACGCAAUAGUUUAUCUCUUAAUAUGUACAAUUUAAAAAAAAGACUAAAAGCAACAAUUUAAAAUUAAAUAUUUCAAAAAAUAAUAGUUUCCCUCCUUGUUAUGUAUCUAAAGAUUUUAAUUGCAUAAUGAUUUUUGAAAAACAUGUGAUCGGUGUCUCAGAUUCAAACCACGAUGAUGACCCCUCUAAUAUUGAUUCUACACAGAGAGUUGAAAAUAAACCUGAUGACUUUAAACAUUUAGAUCUUGUCAUUAUAUUGGAAAAACAAAAAAACUGGAAUUAUUACGCUAUAUCCUUGUAUAAUUUCAACCCGGAUGACGUUUGACAGCAUCAAUAAGAAACUCAUCUGAAUAUCAAGUGAUGUCGCAAGGAAGUGUUUGUUUUAUACUAAAAUACUAUAUUUUUUUGAACAGUAUAGUACAGUAUAUUAUAAAUAUUUACUUAAAUUGUAUGUAAUUUUUAUGGUUUUUUUUCAGAUAAUGUAUUGUACUACGGUUUUAAGUGUUCUAUUAUUUUAAUUUUAAUGAUACAUUGAUAAAUUACAAAAUUUUUCAAUUUUUUUUCUUAUCACAUAGCUAUUCCAUCUUUUUGUAUGUUUAGAUUUAUAUUUUUAUAGUUAUUGUGUUGUUUAACGUUCUUAAAAGAGAGUGACGAAUUUAAACAAUGGCCACCGAACAGAAAGUUAAACGGCAGUAGAGUAUAAUCUUCUUGUUUGAACUUUAUAACUGAAAAAAUAAUAAAUAUAAAAUUUAAAAUUGUUUUAAAUUCAAAAAUAAAAGAAUACCAACACAGAGUUUAAAAAUAACAAAAUUGUGUCUUUAAUAAGUUUAAAUUAUAUUUGAUAUUUACACAAGUUUUUUUUUAUAGGAACCGAAUAUUAGUGUGGAUCAUUGACUACCCGGUGACGAAGAAUUUGUCACAAAGCGGAUGGAAAAUGUGUCGGCUGUAUUUCAACUCGAAAGACGUUUGGCAGCAGCAAAAAGAAGUUCAAUUGAUAAUCAACUGUUGAAAGGAUGUAUUUUUUUUUUAUAAUAAUUUUAGUAGUACUGUACAUAAUAUUUAUUUUUUUGAAUUGUAUUUAUAGACUUUUUUAUUGUUAUUUCAUGUAUCGUACUGAACUAAUCUUGUAAGUGUUCUUUUUUUUUAUUUUGUUGAUACAUUGAUUAGUUAGGUACCACAUUUUUCAAUUUUUGUUCUUAUCAAACAUCUAGUUCUUCUGUUUCUAUGUUUAAAUUUAUAUUUAUUUUAAUUAUGCUGCUGUUUAACAUUAUUAUAUAAGGUUGAGGAAUUUAAAUGGUGGCAACCAAUUUGAACGUUAAACUGCAUGAUAAUAUAAUCUUGUUUGAAAUUUACAACUCAAAUAAUAAUGAAUACCUAUAUGAUUUAUAUUUGUUUAAAAAUUAAAAAAUAAAUGAACACCAAAUCAGAUUAUUAAAGAAUAAAAUUGUAUUAAUAUUAUUUGUUGAACUUUUUUGCAAUAUUCUUAUUGAUUUUAUAAGUAUA